GUGUGGUUGUAGUAGUGGUUAACUGGUCUGCUUCCCACCUUAAUUCCAACAAACGUAGAAUGGGUACCCAGCAGGAGACAUGGGUUCGAACCCCAUACCACGCA